GACGAACGCUGGCGGCGUGCUUAACACAUGCAAGUCGAACGGAAAGGCCCUGCUUUUGUGGGGUGCUCGAGUGGCGAACGGGUGAGUAACACGUGAGUAACCUGCCCUUGACUUUGGGAUAACUUCAGGAAACUGGGGCUAAUACCGGAUAGGAGCUCCUGCUGCAUGGUGGGGGUUGGAAAGUUUCGGCGGUUGGGGAUGGACUCGCGGCUUAUCAGCUUGUUGGUAGGGUAGUGGCGUACCAAGGCUUUGACGGGUAGCCGGCCUGUGAGGGUGACCGGCCACAUUGGGACUGCGAUACGGCCCAGACUCCUACGGGAGGCAGCAGUGGGGAAUAUUGCACAAUGGGCGGAAGCCUGAUGCAGCAACGCCGCGUGCGGGAUAACGGCCUUCGGGUUGUAAACCGCUUUCGCCUGUGACGAAGCGUGAGUGACGGUAAUGGGUAAAGAAGCACCGGCUAACUACGUG
rnacentral:rRNA from 1 species